rnacentral:rRNA from 1 species
AACGAACGCUGGCGGCGUGCCUCAUACAUGCAAGUCGUACGGUGUUUUAGCCGCAAGGUUGAAGCGCCGUGGCAGACGGGUGCGUAACACGUGGAUAAUCUUCCUUUAUGUUUGGCAUAAACCCUCGAAAGGGGGUCUAAUUCCGAAUAACGUUUUUUGGCCGGCAUCGGCCGAAAACCAAAGAUGGCCUCUACUUGUAAGCUAUCACAUAGAGAUGAGUCCGCGCCCGAUUAGUUAGUUGGCGGGAUAAAAGCCCACCAAGACGUCGAUCGGUAGCCGGCCUGAGAGGGUGUCCGGCCACACUGGGACUGAGAUACGGCCCAGACUCCUACGGGAGGCAGCAGUAGGGAAUAUUGCGCAAUGGCCGCAAGGCUGACGCAGCAACGCCGCGUGGGGGAUGAAGGUUUUCGGAUCGUAAACCCCUGUCGAGAGGGACGAAAGGUGAAUGGGUGAAUAAUCCAUUCGCUUGACGGUACCUUUAGAGGAAGUUCCGGCCAACUUCGUGCCAGCAGCCGCGGUAAUACGGGGGGAACG